GAGGGGGCGGUCAGUGGCUGGGCACUGUGCCGCCUCCGCCGCUGCAUCACCCCCGCCCUCCUUCCUCUCCCUUCCCCUCCCGUCUUCUUGCACAGCCGGCACCGCCCCCGCCCCGGAGCGCCCCCCACCUCCCCCCCCACCCCCGUAGCUUGGAGGGACUACAGUCUCUCUGGUUGGCGUGCAGCCCCGCCCGCACCCGCUGUGGCUGGGGGUCCUCCCACCCAAACUCUCCCUGGCUUCUUCCCACUCUCCAUCGCCCGAGACGGCCGCUGGUCCCUGCGCCCCGCAUGUCCCGAGGCUCUCUCCGCAGACCCCCGCCCUCAACUUCUUACCCCAGUUUGGGCAAAAGGCUGCACCGCUCUUUGUCCCAGGCCCAAGCCAUGGUGGGUGGGUGGGCGCCGUGGGCCGGGGAGAAAGGCGGAGCGCUGUGCUGGGCCGGGGACGAGGCUGGGUGACGGCGGCAACGCCGGGAGUCUGCAGUGUGCGGGAGAGAAGUGAGCGCAGAGCGCCCGGCGAGCAGGUGCCUGUGGCGCGGAGAGCGCAAGAGCGAGCCAGCGAGCAGCAGCCUUCUUCAUGGAAAAGGGCUCAGGAGUGAGAUGACCCAGAUUUGAGUCCUGGCUCCAGCUGCCUUUCCAGGGUGGCCCAUUGUGGAGUGAAAAUAUGAACAACGGACUUGGCAGGGCUGCAGAGAGGAUCAGGUGAGAGAAGGGUGAGGGGAGAAUGUACCCCCUCUCCCCACAUCUGCAUGACUCCCCCAUGUCUCUCUGGGGGUGCUGUUCCUCCUAUCUUGUUGGAUAGGAGACACCACUGGAGGUGAAAAGAUUCAGGCCUCCUGCCCCAGGGGGCCUGGUGGCUCAUGCAUAACUCAAAGACAUGAUGCAUAAAUGGUACAUCUCAGGUAUAUUUGAGUUGUUGUAUGGGUUUUUCUGGGAGGGCCUCUCAAAUUCCACCAGGCAGGAGGUUUUCCACUGGCCUCUGACUUAGGGGAUCCUGGCAGCCCAGCCUGGCUGGGCCAGAUCACCUAGUCUGCUGCUGGGAAACCUACCUUGCAAGUGGGAGCCAGGCAGGACUUCCCAUACGCAGCCCCUGCACUGAUGGGGAGUGUGUGGAUGUGGAAAGGAGUGCAGCUAGAUGGCAGUCCAGGGGGACAGGAACUCAGGUUCCCAGUGCCCAGUCCCACAGGCCUGGGCCAUUCUCCCUGCAUCUUCCAGCCCCACUGUCCUCCCUGAGUACCCAGGCCACAGGGCAGGCAAGGGUAAAAUCCUGGGUGGAUUCUGGGUCCAGGAGAGGCCUCCCCACUACUCCACUUCCCUCUGGGGCAUCUGAGAGCUGGAACUGGCAGCACCUGGUAGAUCAGAGUCAGUCACUGGGCCCUAAGAAAGUACAGGCCAAGGGAGAGGCUGGGAGCGCUUGGAGCACCCACUGCCAGGCUCCCACCAGGGUCCCCAAUCUAUGCUGCCUGGUGGUAAGUUUGGGCUUCCACCCCACUUGCUCCAUUCCCCCCUCCUCCCCACCUCCUCUCUCUGCCUGGAACCAGCGGCCUGGCUUAGGGUCCGCUCUGCUGGAAGCCCUGGCCUCUGUACUCUGGGCCUCCCCACACCAUCUACACAGCAGGGCUGGACAGACCUUCUUUCCUUCUUCAGGAUCCAGUGUAGGGGUGGAUUAGAAUGGACUUUGGGUGGGGUUAGGUGUGGUGUCGAGGGGCUCUGAGGGACAGAGGAGGUACCUGCUGGCUGCCUGCACCCCUCACUCAAGCAUCCAUCCUGAACCAGGCAGACUCGACUCCCAAGUAACCUCAAAGGUGAGGGUCCUCACCCUGGGCCACCCUGGUCACUGCUGGGGGUGGCCUGGCAUAGCACUUUGAAGAAUCAGUUUGGGGUCAUAUGAGCCUGGCCCAGUGACCUUAAGUAGAUUCCCUAACUUCUUGUAACCUCAUUGGGAAAUGGGGGUGAUAGCAAUGCCUUCCUAAGAGCGCCCACGUGGGCAAUAAUAAUAGCGUGUGGGAGCACUGAGCACGGCUCUGUGUACCUGGAAAGGCUCUGUGGUGUCAUCAUCAUGAGUGUCACUCCCCCAGGUCAUAUCCCUGCACACUGCGCCAAGGGGCCCUGGGAGGCUGGGCUCUCUGGGCCUGCUCCUUCUCCAGACUUUUUUUUUUUUUUUUGCUUUUUAGGGCCACACCUGCAGCAUAUAGAGGUUCCCAGGCUAGGGGUCCAAUCAGAGCUGUAGCUUCCGGCCUACACCACAGCCACAGGCACGCAGGAUCUGAGCCAUAUCUGCAACCUACACUACAGCUCACGGCAACGUCGGAUCCUUAACCCGCUGAGCGAGGCCAGGGAUCAAACCUGUGUCCUCAUGGAUACUGGUCAGGUUUAUAACCCGCUGAGCCACAACAGGAACUCCUCUCCAGAUUUUGAGAGGCCACGGAGGAGAGUUCCCGGGAGCGCCGUCGGAAGGGACUAGGCUGGUGGGAAUUCUCUUAGUAUAUUUUAAACUAGGGCUCUUUUCGGUUUUCAGGCCAUUUCCACAAAUCUCUCCCGACGCCACAUUCUCUCCCCACACCUCUCCUGGUCACCUCCGGCCUACAGUUUAUCACAGUCCUGUUCCCUUCUUCCCGGCACCGUAAAUCUGUGCGCGGCGGCCCAGCCAAUGAAACACCCUGACACAAA
rnacentral:lncRNA from 1 species